rnacentral:rRNA from 1 species
CGCGUAGGCGGCAUGACAAGUCACUUGUGAAAUCUCCGGGCUUAACUCGGAACGGCCAAGUGAUACUGUCGCGCUAGAGUGCGGAAGGGGCAAUCAGAAUUCUUGGUGUAGCGGUGAAAUGCGUAGAUAUCAAGAGGAAUACCUGAGGUGAAGACGGGUUGCUAGGCCGACACUGACGCUGAGUGCGCGAAAGCCAGGGGAGCAAACG